GGGUGCACAGUAGAGGGUGACACAGGAAUCAAUUGUUGCUCCCAUCCCAUCCCCAUCCUACAAAAAGACUCCUGU